AAUAUUGCACAAUGGGGGAAACCCUGAUGCAGCAACGCCGCGUGAGUGAUGAAGGUCUUCGGAUCGUAAAGCUCUGUCUUCAGGGACGAUAAUGACGGUACCUGAGGAGGAAGCCACGGCUAACUACGUGCCAGCAGCCGCGGUAAUACGUAGGUGGCGAGCGUUGUCCGGAUUUACUGGGCGGAAAGGGAGCGUAGGCGGAUUUUUAAGUGAGAUGUGAAAUACCCGGGCUCAACUUGGGUGCUGCAUUUCAAACUGGAAGUCUAGAGUGCAGGAGAGGAGAGUGGAAUUCCUAGUGUAGCGGUGAAAUGCGUAGAGAUUAGGAAGAACACCAGUGGCGAAGGCGACUCUCUGGACUGUAACUGACGCUGAGGCUCGAAAGCGUGGGGAGCAAACAGG
rnacentral:rRNA from 1 species